rnacentral:antisense_RNA from 1 species
UGUGGGAGGGGGCUUGCCCCCGAUGACGGUGUAACAGUCACUGAUGUAUUGACUGACACACUGCUAUCGGGGGCAAGCCCCCUCCCACA